GCGAAAUAAUACGCAUGAAACGCCCGCGUAUGCGCCCCGCCCUUUGUCUAUUGUACCCUUGUUGCUUCGGCGGCCCGUCGUUAUACGGCCGCCGGAGGACCGACUCCAGGUCCUCUGGCCCGCGCCCGCCGGUAGCCAAAAUCACCAAACUCUUGAAUAAUCGUGUCUAUGAUGUCUGAGUACUUUUAUUAAAAUUAAGCAAAACUUUCAACAACGGAUCUCUUGGUUCUGGCAUCGAUGAAGAACGCAGCGAAAUGCGAUAAGUAAUGCGAAUUGCAGAAUUCCAGUGAGUCAUCGAAUCUUUGAACGCACAUUGCGCCCUUUGGUAUUCCGAAGGGCAUGCCUGUUCGAGCGUCAUUAUCACCCCUCAAGCCCUCCGGCUUGGUGUUGGACGGUCUGGUCGAGCUGCUCGACCCCUCCCAAAGACAAUGACGGCGGCCUGGUUGGACCCCCGGUACAUGGAGCUUCUUGAUUGAGCACGUAUCGGUUUCAAGGCGUCCCCGGGACCCGGUCUCACUCUCUCCCCUCGCGGGAGGGAACCCCCCUUUUUUCUAAGGUUGACCUCGGAUCAGGUAGGAAUACCCGCUGAACUUAAGCAUAUCAAUAAGCGGAGAGACUCCUCGAAAG
rnacentral:rRNA from 1 species